rnacentral:tRNA from 1 species
GCACCAUGGCUUAGCUGGCUAAAGCACCUGCCUAAUAAACAGGAGAUCCUGGGUUCAACUUCUAGUGGUGACU